UACGUAGGGUGCAAGCGUUGUCCGGAAUUAUUGGGCGUAAAGAGCUCGUAGGCGGUUCGUCACGUCGGCUGUGAAAUCCCGAGGCUCAACCUCGGGUCUGCAGUCGAUACGGGCGGACUGGAGUACUGCAGGGGAGACUGGAAUUCCUGGUGUAGCGGUGAAAUGCGCAGAUAUCAGGAGGAACACCGAUGGCGAAGGCAGGUCUCUGGGCAUUAACUGACGCUGAGGAGCGAAAGCAUGGGGAGCGAACAGG
rnacentral:rRNA from 1 species